UACGUAGGUGGCGAGCGUUAUCCGGAAUUAUUGGGCGUAAAGAGCGCGCAGGUGGUUGAUUAAGUCUGAUGUGAAAGCCCACGGCUUAACCGUGGAGGGUCAUUGGAAACUGGUCAACUUGAGUGCAGAAGAGGGAAGUGGAAUUCCAUGUGUAGCGGUGAAAUGCGUAGAUAUUAGGAGGAACACCAGUGGCGAAGGCGACUUUCUGGACUGUAACUGACACUGAGGUACGAAAGCGUGGGUAGCAAACAGGAUUAGAUACCCGCGUAGU
rnacentral:rRNA from 1 species